rnacentral:rRNA from 1 species
UACAGAGGUGGCAAGCGUUGUUCGGAAUUACUGGGCGUAAAGGGUGCGUAGGCGGCUUUGCAAGUUGGGUGUGAAAGCCCUCGGCUCAACCGAGGAAUUGCGCUCAAUACUGCCGAGCUCGAGAGAGACAGAGGUAAGCGGAACUAAUGGUGGAGCGGUGAAAUGCGUUGAUAUCAUUAGGAACACCGGUGGCGAAGGCGGCUUACUGGGUCUUUUCUGACGCUGAGGCACGAAAGCCAGGGGAGCGAACGGG